rnacentral:rRNA from 1 species
UCCACGUUUUCCGCGCCGUAGCUAACGCAUUAAGUGCCCCGCCUGGGGAGUACGGCCGCAAGGCUAAAACUCAAAGGAAUUGACGGGGGCCCGCACAAGCGGCGGAGCAUGCGGAUUAAUUCGAUGCAACGCGAAGAACCUUACCAAGGCUUGACAUGGACCGGACCGCCGCAGAAAUGUGGUUUCCCCUUUGGGGCCGGUUCACAGGUGGUGCAUGGUUGUCGUCAGCUCGUGUCGUGAGAUGUUGGGUUAAGUCCCGCAACGAGCGCAACCCUCGUUCCAUGUUGCCAGCGCGUAAUGGCGGGGACUCAUGGGAGACUGCCGG